CCCUUAGAUGUUCUGGGCAGCACGCGCGCUACAAUGGUCUUCGCAAACGGAUGCAUUCUCGAAGGAGAAUGCCAAUCUUGGAAUCUAUGCCUUGGUCGGGACAGUUGCUUGCAAUUUUUCGACUCGAACCAGGAAUUCCUUGUAAUCGUGAUUCAUCACAUCACGAUGAAUACGUCCCUGCCCUUUGUACACACCGCCCGUCGCUCCUACCGAUCGAAGAGUUAGGUGAAUUGUUUUGAUCGAUAAGAUUUGACUAUGGUCAACUCUCGUUGUGAAAUUCUGUGAAUCUGACUGUUUAGAGGGAGGAAAAGUCGUAACA
rnacentral:rRNA from 1 species